GGAAAUCCAAGUUCUACAGAAAUAUAGUGCGUGUCCAGGCAGUGUGGGAUUGUAAAAGAUGUCCCAAAUUACUUGCACUUAAAUUAUGUGUCAACAGAGAUCCUGCAACAGCUGCACACCAUUUCUCAGUGAAAUUUAUUUAAGGAAGGUUUUUUUCACCUGCCAUCAAACAUCAAUGUAGAUGUCAAUCUAUAUCAGGAAAUGUAACACCCAGAAUGGAUAUAGUUAUGUGCUAUAUCUAAAACACAGUGUAGUCAUGGAGGGUUGCUACCUAAUUCAUUCAUGAAUUCCUUAUGGCUCCAUCUGAAAGUCUCAAGAAAGAAGAAAAAUG
rnacentral:lncRNA from 1 species